GCGGGUAUAGUUUAGUGGUAAAACCCUAGCCUUCCAAGCUACCGAUGCGGGUUCGAUUCCCGCUACCCGCU
rnacentral:tRNA from 6 species